rnacentral:rRNA from 1 species
UACGUAGGGUGCGAGCGUUGUCCGGAAUUAUUGGGCGUAAAGAGCUCGUAGGCGGUUUGUUGCGUCGGCUGUGAAAUCCCGAGGCUCAACCUCGGGCCUGCAGUCGAUACGAGCAAACUAGAGUGUUGCAGGGGAGACUGGAAUUCCUGGUGUAGCGGUGAAAUGCGCAGAUAUCAGGAGGAACACCGGUGGCGAAGGCGGGUCUCUGGGCAACAACUGACGCUGAGGAGCGAAAGCGUGGGGAGCGAACAGG